UCAAAAACUUUUGUGCAUCGUACACCAAAAUAUA
rnacentral:tRNA from 1 species